GGGGGGAACGGGGGAGUCGUGAUGGCUGCCCUAAGGUACCGAAGAAGGGUGGUCUCUAUGAUGACUGAGCCCUGAACACCCUUCACUGCUAGGACAGCCAAUGGAAUGGACGUUCUCACUGCAGAUCUUUUAAAACUCAUCUCCCCAGGGCCCGUCAUCUUUGGAACUGACCGCAUCUUUAGAGCGGAGCCUACGUUUGAGUGACUCAGCAGUAUUCAGAGGAUGUUUUUUGACCCGCAGGUACCCUUUGGGACUCUUCAAUCCUUACCUAAUUUUCAUCGUGUUACGGCUGCUGGAAGCAUCUUGGGCAUUAUGCCCGCAGUAGAAACCCCGUGCAGUCCUUCAUAAAGAAGCAAGAAGACCUUAGGGCUGUUCCAUUCACCAGGAAUUGCACACAAGGGUGUUGGGCUAAAAAGGAGAGCUAGCUCUGUUACUCACCCAGUUAAUGAUCCUUUGCAAAUUCCCUGUUCAGUCUCUGGACCUUGGGUGACUGCUUCAGAAGUUUCCCCCGAUUGUGGUGAUAGCGGUCCUGCUUUCUUAGAAUAUUUAAAAAUGUCAACUUUCAUUGAUUGUUUUCUCUGUAUCUGGAAGUAUUGUACAUGCUCUGACUUUAUUCACUUAAUCCUCACACCAUUAUAAUCCUGUUCUACAGAUGAAGGAUCUGUAGCACAGAGAAAUGAAGUGUAUUCCUAAAGGUUUCCUGUGGCUGGUGUGUGGCAGAGCUGAGAUUCCAACUCUGGUUGUGGGAUCCUCCAUGCCAUAUCGUUUCUCAGUUUCUAAUACAGUUCUAUUAAACGAUUAAGGAGGCA